rnacentral:rRNA from 1 species
UACGGAGGAUGCGAGCGUUAUCCGGAUUUAUUGGGUUUAAAGGGAGCGCAGACGGGAUGUUAAGUCAGCUGUGAAAGUUUGCGGCUCAACCGUAAAAUUGCAGUUGAUACUGGCGUUCUUGAGUGCAGUUGAGGUGUGCGGAAUUCGUGGUGUAGCGGUGAAAUGCUUAGAUAUCACGAAGAACUCCUAUUGCGAAGGCAGCUCACUAAACUGCAACUGACGUUCAUGCUCGAAAGUGUGGGUAUCAAACAGG